rfam:Hordeum vulgare subsp. vulgare, WGS project CAJW01000000 data, contig: morex_contig_138338
UUAGUACACCCUCCGUCCUAAAAUUCUUAUCUUAGAUUUGUCUAUAUAUGAAUGUAUCUAGUCAAGUUUUAAUAUUUAGAUACAUACAUUUUUAAACAAACCUAAGACAAGAAUUUUGAGACGGAUGGAGUAUAAC